GGCAGAGAGAGAGAACAUGUGGAGAGGCAGAGAGAGAGAGAAUGUGGAUAGGCAGAGAGAGAGAGUGUGUGGAUAGGCAGAGAGAGAGAGCUUGUGGAGAGGCAGAGAGAGAGAGAAUGUGGAGAGGCAGAGAGAGAGAGAGGGUGGAUAGGCAGAGAGAGAGAGAAUGUGGAGAGGCAGAGAGAGAGCAUGUGGAGAGGCAGAGAGAGAGCUUGUGGAUAGGCAGAGAGAGAGAAUGUGGAGAGGCAGAGAGAGAGUGUGGAUAGGCAGAGAGAGAGAGAGAGAGAGAGUGUGGAUAGGCAGAGAGAGAGAAAGUGUGGAUAGGCAGAGAGCGAGAGUGUGUGGAUAGGCAGAGAGAGAGUGUGGAUAGGCAGAGAGAGAGAGUGUGUGGAUAGGCAGAGAGAGAGAGUGUGUGUGGAUAGGCAGAGAGAGAGUGUGUGGAUAGGCAGAGAGAGAGUGCGUGUGGAUAGGCAGAGAGAGAGCAUGUGGAGAGGCAGAGAGAGAGCAUGUGGAGAGGCAGAGAAAGAGUGUGGAGAGGCAGAGAAAGAGUGUGGAGAGGCAGAGAGAGAGCGUGUGGAGAGGCAGAGAAAGAGUGUGGAGAGGCAGAGAAAGAGUGUGGAGAGGCAGAGAAAGAGUGUGGAGAGGCAGAGAAAGAGUGUGGAGAGGCAGAGAGAGAGUGUGGAGAGGCAGAGAAAGAGUGUGGAGAGGCAGAGAGAGAGCGUGUGGAGAGGCAGAGAGAGCAUGUGGAGAGGCAGAGAGAGAGUGUGGAGAGGCAGAGAGAGAGCGUGUGGAGAGGCAGAGAGAGCAUGUGGAGAGGCAGAGAGAGAGCGUGUGGAGAGGCAGAGAGAGAGUGUGUGGAUAGGCAGAGAGAGAGUGUGUGGAUAGGCAGAGAGAGAGUGUGUGGAGAGGCAGAGAGAGCGAGCGUGUGGAGAGGCAGAGAGAGCGAGUGUGCGGAUAGGCAGAGAGAGUGCGUGUGGAUAGGCAGAGAGAGAGUGUGUGGAUAGG
ensembl:lncRNA